rnacentral:rRNA from 1 species
UGAACGCUGGCGGUAGGCCUACCACAUGCAAGUCUAACGGCAGCACAGUAAGAGCUUGCUCUUACGGGUGGCGAGUGGCGGACGGGUGAGGAAUACAUCGGAAUCUACUUUUUCGUGGGGGAUAACGUAGGGAAACUUACGCUAAUACCGCAUACGACCUACGGGUGAGAGCAGGGGAUCUUCGGACCUUGCGCGAUUGAAUGAGCCGAUGUCGGAUUAGCUAGUUGGCGGGGUAAAGGCCCACCAAGGCGACGAUCCGUAGCUGGUCUGAGAGGAUGAUCAGCCACACUGGAACUGAGACACGGUCCAGACUCCUACGGGAGGCAGCAGUGGGGAAUAUUGGACAAUGGGCGCAAGCCUGAUCCAGCCAUACCGCGUGGGUGAAGAAGGCCUUCGGGUUGUAAAGCCCUUUUGUUAGGAAAGAAAAGCAGCAGGUUAAUACCCCGCUGUUCUGACGGUACCCAAAGAAUAAGCACCGGCUAACUUCGUG